AAAGGAAUUGACGGGACCCGCACAAGCAGCGGAGCGUGUGGUUUAAUUCGUUGCUACACGAAGAACCUUACCUGGGUUUGACAUAUAGGUUGUAGGGAACUGAAAAGGGACCGACCCUUCGGGGAGCCUAUACAGGUGUUGCAUGGCUGUCGUCAGCUCGUGUCGUGAGAUGUUCGGUUAAGUCCGCUAACGAGCGCAACCCUCGUCGUAUGUUAUAUGUGUCAUACGAGACUGCCGGUAAAAAGCCGGAGGAAGGUGAGGAUGAUGUCAAGUCAGCAUGACCUUUAUAUCCAUGGCUACACACACGCUACAAUGGUCUGUACAAUGGGUAGCCAAGCCGCGAGGCGGAGCCAAUCCUGAAAGCAGGCCUCAGUUCAGAUUGCAGUCUGCAACUCGACUGCAUGAAGCCGGAGUUGCUAGUAACCGCAGGUCAGCAAUACUGCGGUGAAUACGUUCCCGGGUCUU
rnacentral:rRNA from 1 species